GCUGUCCUUAGUACGAGAGGACCGGGAUGGACACACCGCUGGUGUACCAGUUGUCUUGCCAAAGGCAUCGCUGGGUAGCUAUGUGUGGACGGGAUAAGUGCUGAAAGCAUCUAAGCAUGAAGCCCCCCUCAAGAUGAGAUUUCCCAUAGCGUAAGCUAGUAAGAUCCCUGAAAGAUGAUCAGGUUGAUAGGUCAGAGGUGGAAGCGUGGCGACAUGUGUAGCUGACUGAUACUAAUCGAUCGAGGACUUAACCAA
rnacentral:rRNA from 1 species